UACCAAAGAUGGUGAUAGUCCAGUAACAACUAAUUUUUGUAGUUUUUUCUUUUUUGUCCCGAGUAGCAUGGGGUAUGUGUAAUACCGUGUAAAUCAACGAGGACCACCUCGUAAGACUAAAUACUCCUGAGUGACCGAUAGCGAAGUAGUACCGUCAGGGAAAGGUGAAAAGAACCCCUUUAGGGGAGUGAAAUAGAAUAUGAAAUCCUUAGUUAACAAGAUGUAGGAGGGAGCAUAAUUCCUGACUGCUUGCCUGUUGAAGAAUGAGCCGGCGACUUAUAAAUUGUGGCUUGAUUAAAGAUUUGUAUAUUUUUCUGUAGUCAAAGCGAAAGCGAGUUUGAAUAAAAGCGAAUUAGUCAUUAUUUAUAAACUCGAACCCGGGUGAUCUAACCAUGACCAGAGUGAAGCUUAGGUAAAACUGAGUGGAGGCUCGAACUGACCGAUGUUGAAAAAUCGGCAGAUGAGUUGUGGUUAGCGGAGAAAUUCCAAUCGAACUCGGAGCUAGCUAGUUCUCCCCGAAAUGUGUUGAGGCGCAGCGAUAGUCGAAGGAUUGUUAUAGGGGUAAAGCACUGUUUCGGUGCGGGCUGUGAAAACGGUACCAAAUCGAGGCAAACUCAGAAUACUAUACAUAUUUUCCGAUUAUUAGUGAGACGGUGGGGGAUAAGCUUCAUUGUCAAGAGGGAAACAACCCAGACCAUAGAUUAAGGCCCCUAAAUGACUACUAAGUGGAAAAGGAGGUAAUAAUACUAAGACAACUAGAAGGUUUGCUUAGAAGCAGCAAUCCUUGAAAGAGUGCGUAAUAGCUCACUGGUUAAGUGUUGUUGCACCGAAAAUGAAUGGGACUAAGUAGAUCUGCCGAAUUCGUGGGAAAUUCUUAUCGAGAAUUAUCGGUAGGGGAGCGUUC
rnacentral:rRNA from 12 species